GGGGGACGUGCAGGGGACCCACAAUCACAUCGAUUGUUUCAACAGCAACUCAAUCGGAAGCUUUAUCACCAUGUCCUGCCUUCGUACCAUCUUCCUUUUCGCUCUCAUCUUUGGUACCAUGGCUCUUCUGGCUGAAGCUGCGCCAGAGCCUCUGUCGCAACCAGAAGGGGGACCCUUGCGCAUACGUGAGUAUCGUAAUUGUUUU